GGCGGGGCCGAGGGGAGGCUUCUCCUGCCUUCUGGGUGCUUCGUCCUCAUUUUCUCCCCACCUCUGACAGUCAGCAACAAUGGAAUCAAACCCAGUGUCUUGGACUCAUCAGGCAAGUGCUGUACACUGAGGUAUCUCCUCCUGCUCUGACCCCGUGUUUAUAGAGAUGUUGUGCUGCCAGCUCCCAGCAUUGUGAUAUAGUCCAUAAAUAUCACAAUCCUCAAAGGAAGGAUUUCUCCACAUGAUCACAAGUGACAGAGACUAGGCGACCUACCCCGACCCUAAGCAUCUGUUUUCUGACCUUGGAAUCUGUCCCUGUGCUAGGUGAUAAAGGUAGAAACCAGGAGGGAGUAAUUACAAUGGUACAUGCCUUCAAUCCCAGCUGCUUAGAUGAUUGAAGGAGAAAGACCUUCAAUUCAAGAUUAUACAGAACAAAUUUAAGACCCUGCCUUAACUGAAGAAAGAAACAAGGGUCUUGCUACAUCGCUAGUUUCCCAGGCGAGGGUUGAACUUCUGACACACUGCAGACUCCCAGAGUGCUGAGAAGGUUUACAAUUACCCUCUGCCACUACAAAGCUCAAGAUGAAGGAGAGGACAGAUUGGUAGAAGAUCAAAAUAAACUACAUUCCCAUUGUUAUGAAGUAACUGAUUCCCAGGUUUCGCUUCCCACUGACCAUAUAUGUUAAUAUGCAUUGGAAUUCACAGGAUAGAUUCUUCUUAAACUGUAGCUCAAGAACGCACAGCUAUUUCCAAAAUGAAGAAAAUGCCUUGGAGAGUACAAAUGAUGACAAAAAUAAAUAACACGUUUUUAUAUUUACACUUAUAGUCUUCAUCCUGAAAUUCAUAUAAUAUAGACAUAAAGUCUGCAGUUUAAAAUAUGUUUUGAGGGGCUGGGGAUUUAGCUCAGCAGCAUAAACUCCUGCCUUGCAAGCAGGCAGUUGUGAGUUUGAUCCCCAGUACUGAUAAAAAAGAAAAAAAGACAAUGUAUAUAAAAUAUGUUUUGGUCAUGAGUUAUAUGGUCUAUUUUUUGGACAAAUGUAUAAUCAAAUGUAUGCAUCAAUAUCAUAUCCUAUAGGCUAGGUAUCCUGGAUUAAAAGUUAUUUGUGUUCCACUUGCUUAGCCCUUUUUCUCCAACCUCUGGUAACCACUGAUUUAAUAUCUUUUUUUUUUUUUUUUUUGUCUCACUAUCUCGGUGUUUUAUCUUUUAUCUGGGCAAAAUGUAGUUUGAAUCAUAAAGAAGAUAAACUUUUUCAAUGAGCUUCGUUCACUUAGUGAUAUGUAAUUGCAGUGUCUCUUGUGUUUCACAGUGCUUGAUACCUCACUUAUAUUUACUGUUAAAUACUUUCAGUGUGUGGACAUACUACUGUUUAAUUAUCUGUUCAUCUACUGAAAGACACCAUGGUAACUUUUAUGUAUUUGUAAUUAUAAAUAAAGCUUCCAUAAAUACCUAUGUUCAAGUUUUUGCUGAUACAAUUUUUGGUUUUUGUAGGUAAACAUCAAGGAACACAAUUGUUAUGUAAUACUAUGGUAAGAGUAUCUUUAGUUUGUUGUGAACUGCCAAAUUUUCUUCCAAAGAAGUUUCAUUAU